rnacentral:rRNA from 1 species
CCUACGUGAGGCAGCAGUGGGGAAUAUUGGACAAUGGGGGGAACCCUGAUCCAGCGACGCCGCGUGAGUGAAGAAGUAUUUCGUUAUGUAAAGCUCUAUCAGCAGGGAAGAAAGAAAUGACGGUACCUGACUAAGAAGCCCCGGCUAACUACGUGCCAGCAGCCGCGGUAAUACGUAGGGGGCAAGCGUUCUCCGGAUUUACUGGGUGUAAAGGGAGCGUCGACGGCGAUGCAAGUCUGAAGUGAAAGGCGGGGGCCCAACCCCCGGACUGCUUUUGAAACUGUAUGGCUGGAGUGCAGGAGAGGUAAGUGGAAGUCCUAGUGUAGCGGUGAAAUGCGUAGAUAUUAGGAGGAACACCAGUGGCGAAGGCGGCUUACUGGACUGUAACUGACGUUGAGGCUCGAAAGCGUGGGGAGCAAACAGGAUUAGAUACCCGGGUAGUC